rnacentral:tRNA from 1 species
GCGCCGGUGGUGUAAGGCGAACAUCGCUGCCCGGAAAGCAGAAGAUGCGGGUUCGAGUCCCGCCUGGCUCU